rnacentral:rRNA from 1 species
UACGGAGGGAGCUAGCGUUGUUCGGAAUUACUGGGCGUAAAGCGCACGUAGGCGGCUUUGUAAGUUAGAGGUGAAAGCCCGGGGGCUCAACCCCGGAAUUGCCUUUAAGACUGCAUCGCUUGAAUCCGGGAGAGGUGAGUGGAAUUCCGAGUGUAGAGGUGAAAUUCGUAGAUAUCGGAAGAACACCAGUGGCGAAGGCGGCUCACUGGACCGGUAUUGACGCUGAGGUGCGAAAGCGUGGGGGAGCAAACAGG